rnacentral:rRNA from 1 species
CACGUAGGGUGCGAGCGUUGUCCGGAAUUAUUGGGCGUAAAGAGCUCGUAGGCGGUGUGUCACGUCGGCCGUGAAAACCUGCAGCUUAACUGUGGGCGUGCGGUCGAUACGGGCAUCACUGGAGUUCGGCAGGGGAGACUGGAAUUCCUGGUGUAGCGGUGAAAUGCGCAGAUAUCUGGAGGAACACCAGUGGCGAAGGCGGCAUCCUGGACCGAGAUUGACGCUGAGGCGCGAAAGCUAGGGGAGCAAACGGG